GAGGUUCCGAGACAGCGACCGCGCAGGCGCCUUCCGGGGCCCGAAGGAGGGCGGGAAGGCCUGGCCGCCGUGCACAACCCGCGGAGGCGCACAGCUUUGCAGACUUAGGCCUGGUUCUUUCUUCUGGAGGUGCAUGCCUGGGACCCAGCAAUGGCCAUCAGGACGCUGACGGGCAAAGGCCAGGAAUCGGUGACCUUCAAAGACGUGGCUGUGGACUUCACCCUGGAGGAGUGGGGCCAGCUGGGGCCUGGCCAGAGGGAGCUGUAUCGGGAUGUGAUGCUGGAGAACUACCAGAACCUUCUAUCGCUGGGGGCAGGGCUUCCUGGGUCCAAACCCGAUGUGAUCUGCCGUCUGGAGCGAGGGGAAGAGCCCAGGAUGGAGAGGAGAGAAGCCUGGCGAGUUACCUGUUCAGACUUGGAGACAAACUCUGAAACUACUCAGGAGGCACUUCCAAAAAAGAGUAUUUCCAAAGACGUGGCUUCCCCAAUGGGAAAGAUAGAGGGCAUUUUAAGGGCAGUGCUUGGAGACACCAAGUUGGGGGACUCCUGGACAUGCGGCCGUCAACUGGAAGACCAGGGAAAGCAGGAGAGGCGUUUGAGAUGGUUGUUUACUACUCCCGAGGAAAACACCCAUGGCGAGUUGAGACACUUCAGGCAGACCUCAGCUUUCGUUGGGAAGCAAAGAGUGCCUGGGGGAGAGGAUCCUCAGAAGUGGACCAGGUCAAGAAAGAGCCUGAAACACCAAAGGAAACCAUUUAACUGCACGGAAUGUGGGAAAGCCUUCAUCUACCAUUCGGAUUAUGUCCUACACCAGAGAAUUCACACUGGAGAGAAGCCCUACAAGUGUAACGAGUGCGGGAAAGCAUUCAGCAACAGCUCAUAUUUCAUCCAGCACCACAUCAUCCACACAGGAGAGAAGCCCUACGCCUGCAACGAAUGCGGCAAGACCUUUACCCAGAGCUCAUCGCUCACUGAGCAUCAGAGGAUCCACACUGGAGAGAAACCCUACAAAUGCAAGGAAUGUGGGAAAGCCUUCACCCAGAGCUCCUCCCUCAUCAAACACCAGCGAUGCCAUACUGGGGAGAAACCCUAUAAAUGCAACCAGUGUGGGAAGUUCUACUCCCAGGUGUCCCACCUCACCCGCCACCAGAAAAUACACACAGGGGAGAAGCCCUACAAAUGCAGUGAGUGUGGCAAGGCUUUCUGUCACACCUCCUCCCUGACUCAGCACCAGACAAUCCACACUGGUGAGAAACCCUACAAGUGUAACGAGUGUGGGAAAACCUUCAGCCACAGCUCGUCACUGACCCAGCACCAGCGAGUCCACACUGGAGAGAAGCCUUACGAGUGCCCCGAGUGUGGCAAAGCCUUCAGCCACAGUUCAUCCCUGACUCAGCAUCAGAGAAUUCAUACUGGUGAGAAGCCCUAUGAGUGUCAUGAGUGUGGGAAGGCUUACACGCAGAUCUCCCACCUCAUGAGGCACCAGAGCAUUCACGUGGGGGAGAAACCCUAUAUAUGUAAAGAGUGUGGAAAGGCUUUCAGUCACACCUCCUCCUUUACUCAACACCAGACGAUCCACACUGGUGAGAAACCCUACAAGUGUAACGAAUGCGGGAAAACCUUCAGCCAGAACUCCUCACUUAUGCGCCACCAGAGAAUUCACACCGGGGAGAAGCCCUAUGAGUGUACAAUUUGCGGGAGAGCCUACACCCAGAUUUCCCACCUCAUCCAACACCAGAGGACUCACACCGGAGAGAAACCUUAUGAGUGCAGUGAGUGUGGGAAAGCCUUCAGCCGGAGCGCCCAUCUCAUCGAGCAUCAGAAGAUCCACACGGGCGAGAAACCCUAUAAGUGUAAGGAGUGUGGGAAAACAUUCAGUCACAACUCAUCCCUAACUCAACAUCAGAGGAUUCACACCGGCGAGAAACCCUACACCUGUAAGGAAUGCGGGAAAGCCUUCAAUCAAAGUAUCCACCUCAUUCAGCAUCAGAGGAUUCAUACCGGGGAGAGGCCCUACAAAUGUAAGAACUGUGGGAAAACCUAUGCCCAGAUUUCACACCUCAUUCAACACCAGAAAGUUCAUAUGGGUGGCAAGCGCUAUGCAUGUAAAGAACGCGGAGAGGAUUUCAGCUGGGGUUCACACCUGGCCGAACAUCAGAGACUUCACACUGUGCAUGAUGGCUACGUCUGCGGUAAUUUUGAGAAAGUCUUUGCUUGGAACAUGCAGCUUAGUGAUCAUCAGAGAACUCAUGCUGACUAGAGAGCCUGAGAAUGAAACAAACUGGUGAUUCUUCUGCUGGGUUCCGUUCAGCCUUCAUCAGCAGUAGAAGCUUCUUCCCAGAGAGGAGCCAUAACACUAUAUAUUGAGAGAGUUGGUUCCUUUUUUGCCUCCUAGAAGGAGGAUGGCACUGUUUAUCACCAGCAGAGACAGCUUCUGAUCAUUUAAAGGGCUCCCCCCUAAAAUCUAAGCUUCCCCCCCAUUUCUGAACCCUACAACGUCCCUGGAUGGUGUUCUUGGACCAGCUUCACACUAAGAAAAACCUGCCUCACCGCCCCCCCAGGAUUAUGAAGAAAGUUCUAUAUUUUAUUCUAGUACUGUUACGAUUUUUUAACA